GAGAUCCGGAAGUGGCGCUCCGGGGAGAAGGUGGCUGCGGCUGCUGGGGCCGCUGCGCCGGCGGCGGUUCCCGAUGUGGAGGUCCGUCUUGGGUGGGGAGGCACCCAGGUCGCUGGUUCGAUGCAGAGGAAGAAACCACACCUAGCACGUCUUCUUUUAUGGAAAAAGAUGCACGCAAAGACUAUAGGCCAAGUACAACAACAAGAUAUUACAGCAAAAGGAACCUCUCAGACUGAAGGUACCCACUAUGCAGACUCUGGUGCUUAUUAUUUCCAAGAACAUCUUAUACUUUCACUACAGUUUUAUGAACUACAUGUCUCCAAAAUUUAUAUGAAUGAUAGGUACUCAUCAUUCUGCAAAUUAUUUUUUUCCCAUACAACAUUAUGUGCUUGAGAUUAAUCCAUGCUGAUACGUUUACUGCUAAACGGGUCAUUUUAACUACUAUAUGGUGUUCUAUUAUGUGAAUAUUGAUUAUUUAUUUACCCAUUCUCAUGCUAGGGGACAUUGAUUUUUUUUUAGUUUUUCUCUAUUACAAACAAUAUUUCAGAGAAUAUUCCUGCCCAUGUAUCUUUCUGCAGAUGUGUUUGAGUUUCUCUAGUGGAAUCACUGAGUUAAAGGGAUAUGUAUCUUUAAUUUCACUGGUCUAGGCCAAAUAUCUGAUUCACUUGCCCAUAUUCUUACUGAGAUGGUUGGUCAAGUUAUGUAUUUAUUUUUUCAUUUUCUUUUUUUAUUUUGCCCCGGGCAGGAAAUGAAGUGUUAAUCAAGUUGACAAGAGCAUCAUCUUUCUAUUUCUAACCUUUUCUAGAUUUAAACAGAUAGAAAUAUGGCAGAAUUCUUUUAGAAGUCAAGAAGACUAACAUAAAAUAAGGAGCUUUCAGAUGGAUCUUGAUCAGAACCACAUAAAAAUAUGGCCAUGUCCUGUCAUCGCAUUAUGAAAUUUACAACACAGCACUGUCAAUAUGUGAUGUUGCAAAAACACAGUGCCACAUGGUAAACAUUGCCGAGGUCUGUGAAUAAAUCCCUCUGAGAGCUUAUGACUCUUUAUGACCCAGUUCACAAAUGAAAUAACUUUUAGAGUAGAGAAACAUUGACUUUUUAGAUCAAGAUAAUGGGAAAUGUUAAAUUCUGACCCAUAACACCAACUGAACUACUGUUUUAAUGCUGUCCUUAAAUAGGCAACAUGUCUAUUAGUUUAAUUUGGUGUUCUAAAUGCUGGAUCUUAUGCAAUUCCUUUAGCCUUGUAUUUAAGAUGAUCUAUUUGGAAAGAUAGGUUAUGGGAAAACUUUCUUAGUCUCAGCCCCUGCAAUUAAACAGUUUAUGUUUCCUCAUUCAACAAAUAUUAAAAUAUAAUAAAGAAUAUGAAAGUAUUUAUAUUAUCUACUUAACAUAGUUUUUUUCCCUAUAUUCAUUUUCUUAUUUAGAUAAAAGAUGUAGGGCAUGAACAAUGCAGUUUCACUGGGAGGUUUACCUUGGUAAAAAGACAGGAGCUAUUACAUUCUAUCUUGUCAAUGAUCCAUGGAUAAUGGGUCAGCAGGGGAUUUAAGAACUGUAUCUUUCAGUUCUUGCCAGAGAGAUACAUCAAUGUGCACUGAUGUGAGCUAUAAUAUGACACACCUUGCAGAACCCUCAAAACCCUUCAGGCACUCUAAGCUGCUUUUAUGAAGAUACGGGACUAAAGGUUGUCAGUUAAGGAUGGUAUUUUGUAAAUAAUUUCGGUAACAGAAUGAUUUCCCUAUUUCUCCAUAUUAAAUUCUAAUGCAUAAGAAUUAAUCCUCAGGUUUAAAAGUCCUUAGUUUUGUUUUGAUUAUUUCCAUUACAUUAGCAGCAGAUCUGUUUUUACCGAUAGGGUAAAACAGACCCAAUAUAUGCGUUGGUUUAUACAUACAUUAUUUUAUAUAUACAUUGUUUAUUGUUAAGUGGGGGUGGAGGGAAGCAAGUUGAAAAAUAGUAUUACAGUAGAUCCUAUUUGUGUGUGAUUGUCCAGAUUAGUUGGGGUGGGAGCAGAUAAUAAGAAAUUUACCUUAUACACUUAUAUACUGUUUGAAUAUUUUAAAAUAAGUAUGAUUGUUUUUAUCAUCUAAAAAAUAAGUAAAUUUACUUUUCAAUGUAAAAAUAUUACUUUCA
ensembl:lncRNA VPS13B-DT VPS13B divergent transcript